UACGAAGGGGGCUAGCGUUGCUCGGAAUCACUGGGCGUAAAGCGCACGUAGGCGGCUUCUAAGUCAGGGGUGAAAUCCCGGGGCUCAACCUCGGAACUGCCUUUGAUACUGAGGAUCUUGAGUACGGGAGAGGUGAGUGGAACUGCGAGUGUAGAGGUGAAAUUCGUAGAUAUUCGCAAGAACACCAGUGGCGAAGGCGGCUCACUGGCCCGUAACUGACGCUGAGGCACGGAAAGCGAUGGGGAGCCAAAC
rnacentral:rRNA from 1 species